AUUUACUAUAUUAUGCCGGUUCUUCUAUCGGUUGAACUUUAUCAACUUUAACCUCAGAGGUAUUAGUUUCUUCCUCAAGAAACUUCUUUUUCAAAAAGACUGUCCUAUUACUGACGAACAUCUUUUGUUCAUCAGCAAGGUAGAAGUAAUACCCCUUAGUUUAUGUUGAGUACCCUAUAAAUAGACACUUGUCAGAUCUAAAUCUGAGCUUGUCUAUUUUCAAACAUUUGACAUAACUCGGAUAACCCCAAACCCCA
rnacentral:lncRNA from 1 species